rnacentral:lncRNA from 1 species
CUUCACAAGCCUGCAUUGUGUUGGCAUCCAAGUAAGCUCUGUUAGAAGACAGUAUCAUGAGAAUGUGGAUCUAGAAAAGAAGGAGCUGUGAAAUUCUGAAAACAUGCUCUACUACUUGGCUUCACAUUUUGAAACUGAAGAAAAAUUCCAUUUCUUCAUCUCAGAGAACUCCUAAACCUACUCAUUAUGAAGACUUUUUUGAUUCAACUUUUUAUCCUUGAGUAUGACCAUUAAGUGUGUCUUCCUUUGCUACCCCUUAGGACAUGGAACAUCCAUCUGUGAAUUGUUAAUGUCGUCUGUGAAGUGAUAAAGCAAUCUUUAGUUCUUGAGUGUAAAGUGAUUCUUAGUGGGGCAGUUUUGUGUUAACCUUUUUAGGUUUUUAGGAACUUAAUUGUUCAAUCUAGUAUUGUAUACCCAUUUCUGCCUUUGGGGACCUUAUAUUUUGUAGGCAACAUGAAACAAUCUAACCUCAGUCUUGAAUAUACCACAGGAUAGAGGUUGAGAUAUAAAUCUUUCUCUCAUGUAUUUGAAUACAAACCUCAUUCUGUGUUAGAUCCUAGUAUCUGUGAGACAUGACUCUCUGUACUGACUUAAGUAUUUUACCAAAAUGUCUGAAUCAUGCUUUCUUCCACCAAUUAUUUAGGCAGGGUGCCCAACCCCACUGGACACAGAAAUGGUCUCUUUCCUGAAAAUAUAUCUAAAUUUACUCCUCAGUUUACUGUAUCAAUGAACUGUCAGGUUUAUUCUCACACUAAUAUUGCUGGAGUCCAAACCUCAGGGAUGUUUCUUUUCUUGAUAGUCAGUGUGUUAUUCUUUUUUAAAAUUUUAUCUUACACUUAGAAGCUCUGGCUUUCAUAGGAGUUGUUUUUGCAGCUUUUAACUUUGCUCCAGUGAACUGAAAAAUAAACGCUUGAUUUCUAUUAAAUCAUUUGUCACUUAACAAAUAAAAUCUCUGACAAAGGUCUUUCUACUAUAACCCUUCAGCAUUUGAGGAAGAACACAUUUUUGCUUAUAUUUUCUGGAAGUCUUCCCAAUUUUGUUUUAUUUUGAAGGGUAGGAUAUGUAUUUUAUAAUUUUUUCAUUGAUCUAUAUUAUUAAUAUGCUCUAAAUCAUUGGCUAUUUUACAUAUAUUAUAAAGGCUUUGUUGGGAACAGGCCCCAAAAUCUGGUCAUAGAUUGGCCCCAAAACUGGCCAUAAGCAAUAUCUCUAUAGCACUGUGACAUGCUUCUGAUUGCUAUGAUGACUACAAUGAAGGUUGUUUAUCAGAAUGAAGGCCAAGGACACCUGGCACACCCAGGGCAGAAAAUCACUGAAGGUAUUCCUGAACCACAAAUAAUACCAUGAACGAUCUGUGCCUCAAAGACACUUUCCCACUGCAGAUAACUAGCCAGAGCCCAUCCUUUGUCUCCUGUUUUAGUUAACCUGUAAUCUAUAGAAACAAUGCUUAUCACUGGCUUGCUGUCAAUAAAUAUG